rnacentral:rRNA from 1 species
UACGUAGGGUGCGAGCGUUGCCCGGAUUUAUUGGGCGUAAAGGGCGCGUAGGCGGCCACGCACGUCCGUUGUGAAAUCGCCCGGCUCAACUGGGCGGGGUCAGCGGAUACGGUGUGGCUAGAGCAAGCUAGGGGGCAAUGGAAUUCCCGGUGUAGUGGUGGAAUGCGUAGAUAUCGGGAGGAACACCAGUGGCGAAGGCGGUUGCCUGGAGCUUUGCUGACGCUGAUGCGCGAAAGCGUGGGGAGCAAACCGG